CGUAACGGGUGAGUAAUGCGUGACCAACCUGCCCCAUGCUCCAGAAUAGCUCUUGGAAACGGGUGGUAAUGCUGGAUGCUCCAACUUGACGCAUGUCUUGUUGGGAAAGUGUUUAGUGGCAUGGGAUGGGGUCGCGUCCUAUCAGCUUGUAGGCGGGGUAAUGGCCCACCUAGGCUUCGACGGGUAGCCGGCCUGAGAGGGCGGACGGCCACAUUGGGACUGAGAUACGGCCCAGACUCCUACGGGAGGCAGCAGGC
rnacentral:rRNA from 1 species